AACACUUACGUAUUUUGUGCAUUCGAUUGAGACAUGAACAUGUUUGAGUGACUGUUUUUGAAGUAUUCAACUUAAGAUUCUUGCUUCACACAAUGACUAGAGUGACAGGAGGAAAGAAUAAAAUUCCGUACGAGAUGGACUUUAAUUUAAAGGUACCAUGAUGUUCUCGAUGUCCUUGUGACGCGGAAUACUACUGUACAGCGUGC